AGUGAACGCUGGCGGUAGGCCUAACACAUGCAAGUCGAACGGCAGCACAGUAAGAGCUUGCUCUUACGGGUGGCGAGUGGCGGACGGGUGAGGAAUACAUCGGAAUCUACUUUUUCGUGGGGGAUAACGUAGGGAAACUUACGCUAAUACCGCAUACGACCUACGGGGGAAAGCAGGGGAUCUUCGGACCUUGCGCGAUUGAAUGAGCCGAUGUCGGAUUAGCUAGUUGGCGGGGUAAAGGCCCACCAAGGCGACGAUCCGUAGCUGGUGUGAGAGGAUGAUCAGCCACCCUGGAACUGGGACACGGUCCAGACUCCUACGGGAGGCAGCAGUGUGGAAUAUUGGACAAUGGGCGCAAGCCUGAUCCAGCCAUACCGCGUGGGUGAAGAAGGCCUUCGGGUUGUAAAGCCCUUUUGUUGGGAAAGAAAAGCAGCAGGUUAAUACCCCGCUGUUCUGACGGUACCCAAAGAAUAAGCACCGGCUAACUUCGUG
rnacentral:rRNA from 1 species